UAUUCGGUUAAGCGCCAUAACCAAUAACCUUUAUCACCAAUUUUGAGCGCAUCCGACCACACUAGCCCAUCGAGUG
rnacentral:tRNA from 1 species